GUGCCAGCCGCCGCGGUAAUACCGGCAGCCCGAGUGAUGGCCGAUCUUAUUGGGCCUAAAGCGUCCGUAGCUGGCUGCGCAAGUCCGUCGGGAAAUCCACCCGCCCAACGGGUGGGCGUCCGGUGGAAACUGCGUGGCUUGGGACCGGAAGGCGCGACGGGUACGUCCGGGGUAGGAGUGAAAUCCUGUAAUCCCGCUCGGACCGCCGAUGGGGAAACCACCUCAGGAGAACGGAUCCGACAGUGAGGGACGAAAGCCAGGGUCUCGAACCGGAUUAGAAACCCGAGUAGUCC
rnacentral:rRNA from 1 species